GAACUCUUAGGGAUAGAUGUUAAACCAUUCACUUUCAGUUAUGAAGAGCUAAAGACGGCUACAGACGACUUCAAUUCUGUUAAUAGGUUGGGAGCAGGAGGAUUUGGACCUGUCUACAAGGUAAGCCAUUACCUUAACCUAAUUCAUAUGGCUGAAUAAUUAGCGCUGCCAUAGCUUUUAACUAGUUUGCUACAAAGAUAGAAAUGUUUUCUUCUCUAUUUUUCUCCAUCGAAAUACUCAAUGAUGCAUAUUUACUUUUUUCUUGUGUACAUUAUAUGUGCAAGAGGAAACACCUGAUGAUGGAAGAGUUGUUGCUGCAAAGCAACCGUCUGUGACAUCCCACCAAGGAAAAAACCAGUUUGUGACUGAAAAUUGCAACAAUGUCUUCUGUGUAACACCAAAACUUGGUGAAGUUGCCUUGAAGGAAACAAUCGGCUGCUUGUGAACAGGAAAUAACAGCUUGGGUCUCAAUUGGUCAACGCAUUAUGACAUUUGCUUGGGGAUAGCAAGAAUUCUAGCUUAUCUUCAUGAGGAAUCCCGGCUUAGGAUAGUACAUAGAGACAUAAAGGCCAGUAACAUUCUGCUUGACUCUAAUCUCAACCUCAAAAUAUCAGAUUUUGGUUUGUCCAGGCUUUAUGAUGAUAAAAAAAACCCACAUAAGCACCCGUGUUGUUGGGGCAAUGUAAGAUUUUCAAUGCUUAAUCUGUCAUGUUCAACUUCCUCUUCUUUGUCUCUUUUAUUAUUGUUACUGAUGUAGUGGGUACGGUGCACCGGAGUAUGCCAUGCGUGGGUACCUUACAAAGAAAACCGAUAUAUUUACUUUUGGAGUUGUGUCUCUAGGGAUCGUUAGUGGUAGGCCAAAUUCUGAUUCAAGCUUAGAAGAAGGAAAGAUAUAUCUUCUUGAAUGGGCUUGGAACCUAUAUGAAGAAAACCAAGAAGAUGAAUUGGCGAAUUCAGCAUUAUCCACAUUCAACAAAGAAGGAAGUAAAACGAGUCAUAGGAGUAGCUCCUUGGUGCACUCAAAUAUCACCAUCCUUAAGGCCAUCAAUGUCCAGAGUGAUGGCAAUCAUUUCAGGUAAUGCAGAAGUGAGCACAGAAAUUACGAGACCCGGAUACUUGACUGACAGGAAGUUCGAAGAUGUGAGCAGGCAAACGAGUGACGGUGCAACCAAAGGAACUAACACUAGCUACCAUAACUCAUCUGCAAGCACAAGCAUGGUUGGAGAUGCAGAGCAAUCACAUGUCUAUGGAAGUG